UGGUAAUGGGGAGCUGCACAGGUGGCCUUUCUGAGCAGCCCAGGUGCUGCUUCCAUCCGUGUCAGACACAGCAACUUCAAGCAUUCUCCAAAACAGAGACCUGCUGGUCAGAGCUGAGCCCAUCAGUGAGAAUGGUUGCAACUCUGUGAUAACAAAUUUAAGAAAGGACAAAAAAACACUGCAGCAUCUGUAAGAGACAGGAGUGAGAAAAUGUGAGUGAGAGAGAAGCAGCCCUGCAGCCCCCAAGAUUACACAGAUUCUUUGCCAGCAUGCUGCCCCCUAAUUAUCCAGCUGAAGAUGUUGCCUGUGCCACAGACAAGUAGGAGAGCUUCGUGUGGAGGUCUUUGAAGAUUUCUCGGGAGGCUGCUAUGCAGCAACUGUUAUGCAUAGACUCCUUCAAGGGACAGGGUGGACUUGGCUACUCUUUCCUGGAGGGGAUUCCAAGGCACUCUGCUCUGAAUUGCUUCACGCCACUUGGCCAAGCACUGAAGAUCAUUUCUGAGAGCUAACAAAUUUUGUAGCGUAGAUGCAGCCAUCAAGGAGUUCCAGCUGUAUCCCUUCCCCCAUGCCAGCUUUAAGUCUUACACAAGAUGAGCAGGCCCCACUGCAUAAUGCUAUUCUUAUUCUGGGCAACCCCUAGGACAGAUCUUAGGUGUACCAAAAUACCAUGCUUGGGGACAGCAGGUGGCCUAAAAAUGCCAGGUCACGUCAUGCUUGAUACCUCCUGACAAGACCCUUUUGGUGCCUCCUUAAGGGAUGUCCAUGGUCUCCCUAUCCCCAUGCCUACUGAUGUAGAGGCUUUCACAGGCAGAUGAGAGGGGCAUUUCUGGUUAGUAUGAAUGUCUCACUAAACCAUCUAGUCUUAUGUCUUGACAGACAAGACUUCUGCCUGUUCUCCCUUCCUCUCAUUUUAAUUUGCUUUUAUUUCCAUAAAUGCAUGCAUAUUUCUCUACUUGUACAUGUCAUGAGACGUGCUUCCCCUCAUUGUUGGACUGGCACAGCCAGUCCCUUGUUUUUUUAGGAGUGAUGUUAUAUAAUAAACAUUCAAACCCUAUGAACAUGACAAGAGGCUCCUGACAGUUAUAAUUAUAUUCCA